AUCAUUUCAUCAAUUCACCGAAAUAAACUCUAAAUUCUCUCAAAACUCUCAAUUUUUCUGAAAACUCCCAUCUCCUCCCAUUCUGCCUUUUUUCUUCUCUCGAUUAAUUUCCAACAAACUUUUUUCAAUGGAGGGCUUAAUCAUCAAGAGUUUGAUUUCAAGAAAUUUUCUUUGCAAACAUUCCCUUGGAUUCGACACCCCUACUUACCACCGAGAUACGGUAAAAAGUAAGGAUAAAUUUGAAAAUACUUUGUUCUGAGGUAAAUCUUGGAAGCGUGUGCUAAACCCACCCCAUUCUCUUCUUUUUUUUUUCUUCUCCUCGCUCUUCAUUUUCAUCUUCUUGUCCUUCCUCCCCUAUCCUCACCUUCUUCUCUUUCAUUAUUCCUAUAAUCUACUUCCUCUAGCACGUUGUUGUCCUAACUAGAAAUCCAAUCGUAUGCCAACAUCGUUCAUGAUGUCCAGAUCUCUUGUUUGUGGAGAAACCUUUGACAAUGUGGAUACCCAUGAAACACUUCUAAAUUUCAAACUAUGCCUACUUGUUCUUUUGGCAUUUGUUUUUAUUUAGAGUGCACUUGAAAUUCUAAUUUUAAUCAACAAACCAAGAUGUUUUCUGCUUUCUAAUGGGUUACCUCCUUCAUUUUGUAUAAGCGUUUAAGGGAAAAAAGGGACAAGAAUGCUUCUAUCGGAAAAACAACCAACUAAAACUUCAUGACAACUUCAGUUCCAUUAUUGAAGAAAAAAACAUGAGAAAAGGAAGAUCUCAAGAAAAUGGUGAAUAUUCAGAUUCUAAUCAUUUGUUGGGCAUAACACGAUAGAGGGUUGAUUGAAAAUUCGAAAUCGGAGGAUGAAGAAGAAAUAAUUGUUAGAUUUUAUAUUCUAAAACUCGUAGUUUGUAAUUUAAAAUCCUAUUCUAUUCAAUUAAAGACUUAUUAGUGAAAA